rnacentral:rRNA from 1 species
UACGAGGGGGGCGAGCGUUGUUCGGAAUUAUUGGGCGUAAAGGGUGCGUAGACGGCCUGACAAGUCUGAUGUGAAAUCCCUGGGCUCAACCCAGGGCCUGCAUCGGAAACUGUCGGGCUUGAGUAUGGGAGAGGUGGGUGGAAUUUCCGGUGUAGCGGUGAAAUGCGUAGAUAUCGGAAGGAACACCUGUGGCGAAAGCGGCUCACUGGACCAUUACUGACGCUGAGGCACGAAAGCUAGGGGAGCAAACAGG